rnacentral:misc_RNA from 1 species
GCCACAACUAAAAGGAGAAAUUUGUGUUUUCUUAAAUGAGAUAUGCUUCUUUAAUUUGAAUACGAUGCACUGGACCAAUAAUGAAGGACUACAUAAUGAAAUUACUAAUUCUAAGGUAGAAUCAGAUGAAUUAUGGGAUACAAUUCAAAUAAUAAAAGCUGAAAUCAAGGACUAUUAUGAACAGCUUAAUUAAAUAUCUUAUUUGAUAGAUUUUCAUGGUGGUCCUACUUGUGCUCCUUAUGGUUUAUUUGAUGAGUAUCAAGACAUCCAGCAAAUCUUACAUUUUUGGGAGAAAACACUUGAAAAUGUAACAAUGAGUAUCAAAUUUUUUGGGAGAAACACUUGAAAAUGUAAGAAUGAGUAUCAAAUUCAACAGACUCAUCAACAAGUUAAGGAGAGAGAACUUGAAGAAUUGGAAGCAUGGAAAGAAGUGCAUCUAUUUCAGUUGAGAGUAUAGUUAGAUACAAUAAAAAGAAUUGAAAAUAUAAAAGCAAGAAGUCUUGAAAUCGCAAGGCAACAAUAAGAGCAGCUUGAAUAUAAAAGCAAUUUGAAGAUUCUAAGCUUCAAGAACCACUUCUAGAACAAGAAGUUGAUGAAGCUGGUCAAGAAAUGCUUGAGGAAAAUAUGUUGGGGAACAAAGAAGAUCAAGCUAUGAAGACUUCAAUUGAGAUUGAAGAAAAUCAAGUUGUUCCUAGUGAUUUAAAGAGCCAUUCAACUUCAACAGUAAUUGAUUUUCUAUGGUUAGAUUUUCUCAUUGACGCAAAGGAAAGAAUGAAGUUGUUUGUUUCGAAUUUGGUGUUGUCUUCCAAGAAAAUAAUAUUGUGUGUUCUCUUCACUUGGUUUCUGAUUCUUCUGCAUUUCAAGUCUCGAGAACGAGAUUUUUUCCAAUCAGGGAAAAAUAAUGCAGAAUGGAAAGAUGAAAAUCCUAAUAAGAUUUAGUAAUUAUAUUCCAUGUAAAAUUAGG